GACGAACGCUGGCGGCGUGCUUAACACAUGCAAGUCGAGCGGUAAGGCCCUUUCGGGGGUACACGAGCGGCGAACGGGUGAGUAACACGUGGGUGACCUGCCCUUAGCUCUGGGAUAAGCCUGGGAAACUGGGUCUAAUACCGGAUAUGACUCCAUGACGCAUGUUGUGGGGUGGAAAGCCUUGUGCGGCUAGGGAUGGGCCCGCGGCCUAUCAGCUUGUUGGUGGGGUGAUGGCCUACCAAGGCGACGACGGGUAGCCGGCCUGAGAGGGCGACCGGCCACACUGGGACUGAGACACGGCCCAGACUCCUACGGGAGGCAGCAGUGGGGAAUCCUGCGCAAUGGGCGAAAGCCUGACGCAGCGACGCCGCGUGAGGGAUGACGGCCUGG
rnacentral:rRNA from 1 species